UGGCCCYWAMMMCAUGCCAAGUCGAACGGUAGCACAGAGGAGCUUGCUCCUUGGGUGACGAGUGGCGGACGSCCYGAGUAAUGUCUGGGAAACUGCCCGAUGGAGGGGGAUAACUACUGGAAACGGUAGCUAAUACCGCAUAACGUCSCAAGACCAAAGAGGGGGACCUUCGGGCCUCUUGCCAUCGGAUGUGCCCAGAUGGGAUUAGCUAGUAGGUGGGGUAACGGCUCACCUAGGCGACGAUCCCUAGCUGGUCUGAGAGGAUGACCAGCCACACUGGAACUGAGACACGGUCCAGACUCCUACGGGAGGCAGCAGUGGGGAAUAUUGCACAAUGGGCGCAAGCCUGAUGCAGCCAUGCCGCGUGUAUGAAGAAGGCCUUCGGGUUGUAAAGYACUUUCAGCGAGGAGGAAGGUGUUGUGGUUAAUAACCRCAGCAAUUGACGUUACUCGCAGAARAAGCACCGGCUAACUCCGUGCCAGCAGCCGCGGUAAUACGGAGGGUGCAAGCGUUAAUCGGAAUUACUGGGMGUAMAGCGCACGCAGGCGGUCUGUCAAGUCGGAUGYGAAAUCCCCGGGCUCAACCUGGGAACUGCAUCCSAAACUGGCASGCUASAGYCUUGUAKASGGGGGUAGAAUU
rnacentral:rRNA from 1 species